GACCACAUGGUGUAGUUGUUUAUCACGCCCGCUUAGUAUCUCAGAUAUAACACGUUGGUAAAUGUGGGCAUGUGCGGGCGGUCCCCGGUUCCAUUCCGGUUGUGUCCA